rnacentral:rRNA from 1 species
GUUGGCGACCAAAAUAGAGGGGAAACACCCGUUCUCAUCCGAACACGGAAGUUAAGGUCUCUAGUGAUCUGGUGUGUACUGCCUUUGGCGGGAAAUCCAGGAAGUUGCCAACU